GAUGGGCCUGCGUCUGAUUAGCUAGUUGGUAAGGUAACGGCUUACCAAGGCGACGAUCAGUAGCCGACCUGAGAGGGUGACCGGCCACAUUGGAACUGAGACACGGUCCAAACUCCUACGGGAGGCAGCAGUGGGGAAUAUUGCACAAUGGGCGAAAGCCUGAUGCAGCAACGCCGCGUGAAGGAAGAAGGCCUUCGGGUCGUAAACUUCUGUCCUUGGGGAAGAAGAACUGACGGUACCCAAGGAGGAAGCCCCGGCUAACUACGUGCCAGCAGCCGCGGUAAUACGUAGGGGGCAAGCGUUAUCCGGAAUUAUUGGGCGUAAAGAGUACGUAGGUGGCAACCUAAGCGCAGGGUUUAAGGCAAUGGCUCAACCAUUGUUCGCCCUGCGAACUGGGAUGCUUGAGUGCAGGAGAGGAAAGCGGAAUUCCUAGUGUAGCGGUGAAAUGCGUAGAUAUUAGGAGGAACACCAGUGGCGAAGGCGGCUUUCUGGACUGUAACUGACACUGAGGUACGAAAGCGUGGGGAGCAAACAGGAUUAGAUACCCUGGUAGUCCACGCCGUAAACGA
rnacentral:rRNA from 1 species